CAUGAUGUGUAGCUGGACUGAGAGGUUGAACAGCCACAUUGGGACUGAGACACGGCCCAAACUCCUACGGGAGGCAGCAGUAGGGAAUUUUCGGCAAUGGAGGAAACUCUGACCGAGCAACGCCGCGUGAACGAUGAAGUAUUUCGGUAUGUAAAGUUCUUUUAUUGAAGAAGAAAAAAUAGUGGAAAAACUAUCUUGACGAUAUUCAAUGAAUAAGCCCCGGCAAACUAUGUGCCAGCAGCCGCGGUAAUACAUAGGGGGCGAGCGUUAUCCGGAAUUAUUGGGCGUAAAGGGUGCGUAGGCGGUUUAAUAAGUCUAUAGUUUAAUUUCAGUGCUUAACACUGUCCUGCUAUAGAAACUAUUAGACUAGAGUGAGAUAGAGGCAAGUGGAAUUCCAUGUGUAGCGGUAAAAUGCGUAAAUAUAUGGAGGAACACCAGAGGCGUAGGCGGCUUGCUGGGUCUUUACUGACGCUGAGGCACGAAAGCGUGGGGAGCAAACAGGAUUAGAUACCCUGGUAGUCCACGCCAUAAACGAUGAGUAUUAAGUGUCGGGAUUACUCGGUACUGAAGUUAACACAUUAAGUACUCCGCCUGAGUAGUACGUACGCAAGUAUGAAACUUAAAGGAAUUGACGGGACUCCGCACAAGCGGUGGAUCAUGUUGUUUAAUUCGAAGAUACACGAAAAACCUUACCAGGUCUUGACAUACUCUGCAAAGCUAUAGCAAUAUAGUGGAGGUUAUCAGGGAUACAGGUGGUGCAUGGUUGUCGUCAGCUCGUGUCGUGAGAUGUUAGUUAAGUCCUAAAACGAGCGCAACCCCUUG
rnacentral:rRNA from 1 species